rnacentral:misc_RNA from 1 species
GAUGAAGAACGUAGCGAAAUGCGAUACUUGGUGUGAAUUGCAGAAUCCCGUGAACCAUGGAGUCUUUGAACGCAAGUUGCGCCCGAAGCCAUUAGGCCGAGGGCACGCCUGCCUGGGCGUCACACGUCGUUGCCCCCCCAUCUACUCCUUCGGGAUUGCGGGGGGCGGAUGAUGGCCUCCCGUGCGCCACGCCGCGCAGUUGGCAUAAAUGCCAAGUCCUCGGCGACGCACGCCACGACAAUCGGUGGUUGCGAAACCUCGGUUGCCCGUCGUGUGCGGUCGUCGCGCAUCGAGGGCUCGAAAAAAUUGCCGGGUUCCGGCUCGGCUUUCAACGCGACCCCAGGUCAGGCGGGGUUACCCGCUGAAUUUAAGCAUAUCAAUAAGCGGAGGA